GUGAACUAAUGAAACAAAGUCAAACAAAACACAAUUAGUUAAGAACAAUGGUUGGAUUUCUGGCAAGGGAGGGAUAUUUACACAACAAUCACGACGGAAUACAAAGAGUCAACUGCGCUGGCCUGAACAACGAAUAGGACACGUUAUACAAGACGGGCCAUGAGAACACACACGUACGAGGUGCACUGCAGCGCCGGAAUGGGUCUCUCUGUACUUUUAACUCCGUUCAACUUUAAGGAAAGGUACAACGUGUGUACAUGCUGACGUGCUGGUGGGUCUAGCCCGGUACCAGGAUCUACCAACCGCGUGAGUCCCGCACGCGUCCCCCACAACGAUCCGCUUUGAACAAAGACACUUUUUUUUUUUUACCCUCUUCUUUCUUUUUUUUAAUAUUUCAACCCACUUUUAUACCUAGUUACCGAAUGUGAUGGGGUUCGGUUGUUCCCCACUGAACAGGGAUCGAGAAAGUUAGAACUGACUUCACAAUUCUGUCUUGUUUCUGUCAACUGUUUGAUGACUAGCAUUGGACGAGGAUCUUAACCACGUAAUCGUAUCUCCAAUAAAUAUGAACAUUACGCAGUAGCAGAUAA